rnacentral:lncRNA from 1 species
AAUCUAACGCGGCCUCCGGGUUUCAGAGCCGCCUCCGAGUUUCCCUUCAGGCGUUGGUGCUCCGUUUGUGAGUCCCUCAAUUUUUUUAAACCCUUCUUUUUGGUUUUUUGGAUGCGAUCUCUUAAUGGGAUUUUCAGAUGCUAUCGUCUUCUCUCUGUCUCUCUCUCUUUUUUUCUCUCUUGAUUUUUCCGUUUAUAUAUGUAUCUUUGAAUGCUUCGAGUAUUUUGUUUCAUCUAAUCUACGAGAAGGGGAAGAGACGGGGAAAGGAUAAGAGUGAUAAGAGAGAGGGCUCUAAAUAAAGAGUCAAACAGCAGGCGCCUAUUCAGUGGCGAUAUCCUGUCUGCCGCAUGGAGCCCAUAUCAAACGCGGCCAGACGAAGAUUGCUUGGAUAUCCUAUCCUCUCGUUAUUCCAAUGCCACAAUAUCUGGCCACACUUGUUCCCUACCCCUGAUCUGAAUACCCCCUCUUUUAUUUCUUUUGUUUUUCACUCCCACAAUUUUAUUCCUAUUACUUAUUUGUUUUUUUUUUCCUUAUUCUUUCUGAGAUUACAUCUUUGAUAUAUAUAUAUAUAUAUAUAUAUAUAUUGNNNNNNNNNNNNNNNNNNNNUAUAUAUAUAUAUAUAUAUAUAUAUAUAUAUUGUAUGUUUUGUUAAAAAGAUGGGUUUUUUUAUGGAAGGAAAGGAUAAGAAUGAUGGCUCUAUUUCAGACGACGGGGGCUUGUCAGUUUUGAUAGCAGGCUACCUUUUGCAUAGCGCCUAUAUGGAGAUCAAACAGUGUGAGGCUGCUACACGAUUGUAGGGUGUGCUUACUUUGUAGCCCCCUUCAAAUUUAAAGCAGGCACAUCCUUAGAAUAAUCAAACUUCAUCAAAAUUAAUUGAAAUAGUUAAUAGAUUAUAAUUUUUUUUUAUUUUGGUGAUUGUUUAUGACUUGUACCCCUUUUUGCUCAUUUUGUUAUCAACUAUUUUGCAUCUUGUUAUUUCUUUCAAUUUUUAACUUUCAACUUCUACUCUUUUCCCCCACUUUGGAUCAUGUUCCCCCUCACUUUUUUUUUGGUCAUUAAUAAUUGGAUUGGUCAGAACAAUCAAUGAGUAUUCUGUUUUGAUUCGGUAGUUAAGAUCGAGAAGAAUUCUGUUCUUAUCCAAUAUUUGAAGUGAUGUUUCAUAAUAACGUUUCUUUAGCAAAUAAGCUUGUGCAUUACAGAGUCUUUAAAGAUGAACUUAUCGUAAAACCUGAACUCGAAAGAUACAAAACAACAUGAUGGCAUCACUCGGCUGAAACAUGCAUGAAACAUGCAUGUAUCUGAUGGAUAAAGGCUUGAUGGUAUUAUAAAAGCUUCAAAUUUUGGUAUUGUUUUGCAUCCCUUGAGAUGCUCACUAAUCCUACAUCAAUAUGAACUUGGAACGGUGUUUUCAUCAAAAUUUUGGGGUUAGAGAGGAAUUAAUCAAGUCCAUCGUAUCAGUCCUACCUGCUCUAUUGUUACGUCUCAGCACAAGGCCCGAGUCGAGCACAACGGACGGCCGUAAAUCCGUGGGAUUUGAUUUUAAUUUGAUAGAAAAAUUUAAUACAUUAAUUCAAAGAAUAAUUCAUAAUUAUUUAAUAAUAAUAAAAAAAACUAAUCAAUUUAUAAUUUUAAUAUAUUAAUUCAAAGAAUAAUUUUAAUACAUUAACUCAAAGAAUAAUUUAUAAUUAUUUAAUAAUAAUAAGAAAAAUUAAUCAAUUUUUUUUGUAGAAUUAUUAAUUAUAAAUAUGUCAAAUUUUAAAAUCCUUAUUAUUCAAAUUCAAGUUCCAUCUAUUUUGCAGCGACUAAAAAAAAAAUAAUAAAUUUUACAAGUUCAAUAAAUUAUCAAUAUCUCAAAUUUAUUAAAAUAUUAGUUUAUAAUUUCAUAUGGUGUUUGAAAUUUCAAAGUUAGUUUCUUCUCAUCGAUCGGAGUCAAUAUUUUCUCGAUUGAUCAGUUAUAUAUAUUAUUAAAUAUUUGCAUUAUAACAACGAAAAUUUUUCUCAAUAUUUUAGUAAUAAGUAGAAGGAGAAUUUAAGAAAUAGAACUUGAAAAAUUUAUUCUAAUAAUAUUAAAAGAUCCAUGGUAAACAUAUUUGAUAAGAUAAUGUAUGCUGCUAAGUCAUCUAAUAUAAAUUUUACAAUUGUCAAAUAGUGCAUACCUUACAUGGAUUGUGUUAACUUCAUCAAAUGGUACAUAAUUUAAAUCAAUUAUAUUGUGAUCUAAAGAUCUAAAUCCUUGUACGUUAUAUAAAAAUUUAGUGGAUAUUCCAUGUUUCUCUCUUCUCCUCUACUUGAAAAAAAUCCAAUCCAAAUCAAAUGGUGGCUUUCGUGAAGGAUGUAUAGGGCAAGCUCAAUCGGGAUUUAUAUGUCUCUUUUUGACCAAGAUCAUGAGCGAGGCCCGCUACAUCCAGAACAACACCCCGACCACACCCCCAAGGAUUGCAUCGCCUACCAUGUCCUUGAUGCCCUCCUCCCCCUCAGCACCACCAUCGAUGGCAGCCCUCUCAUUGUCUCCCAUGUCAUCUACAUUGAAGGCUGCGGUAAUGCUGAAAUAAGGAUUUUUUGAGGAUUUUUCUACCAUUGUCUCCUUCAACCCUUUCUGCACCUCGAGCCGCGAUGCCUCUGCCAACGUCUUUCGUGGCCUCCUCUUUAAUGGGAAGUCUGUUGCCAUCAAACGACUUGACCUCCCCUCUUUUUUUCCUUCUUUUUUUUCAAUCGUAAGUUUUGAAUCUUCUUUUCCUCUUCUACCUCUACCGCUCCUUUCACCAUACCUAUGUUCAUGAUAGUACUCUCCUCAUCUCUCCUGCUGCUUCUUCCACGAUCUUCUCUCCGCUACUGCCUCCUUCGAACCCCUUUCGCUCCCUUGAUCAUGGUGCCUUCGUUGAGGUCAUCCGUGGCCUCCUCUCCAAUGGCAAGUCCAUCACCAUCAAACAUCUCGACACCCCCUCCUCUGAUCGUGAGCUUCAAAUUCGAAGCAUAAUGAUUUUGCCAAGAGGAUUUUUUUUCCACACAAUAGAUGGAGGCAUCUGCAUUGUUCAAUGUGGUGAAUAGAGACUCUGCCAAUACAGAUGCCUCCAUUUUAAUAUAUAUAUAUAUUAAAUUUGUACAAAAAAAUAAAUUUAGUUUCAUGAGUAUAAAAGCAUAUCAUAAUAAUCAACAUAAAUUUAAAAUAUAUAUUUUGCUUGAAAUAAAUUUUUCAAUCAUCCAAAGAUUGGUCCUCCACUCUCACUCUCCUAGUCCCUUGGAUUAUGGUCAUGAUCGAUCAGUGACUAAUCCUGAAAGAGACUAGAUACUACAAUAUACCAUCCUUCGGUCAUACGUCAGUAAUCAUCCCAUUAGAAGUUUGAAAAGAAAACUAGUUCUAAUAUCAUAUAGAGAAACAUGCUCUCACUAACACAUGUCAACAAUCAACUUUGCCUGAUUAGGUCCGAAAGAAAAACUAAUCCUUGACCACAACACAUCAUUCAUCAGUGAGUACUAGUGAUUGCCCCAUUAGAGGUCUGAAACGAGACUAGAUCUUGAAUCCGUAUGAUUAUAAUUGGACUAGAGAGUAGUGGACUGAUACAUAAUAUAUUUUGAUGCAAAGAGAUAUAAUUAAUUUUUUACUAAAGCAUAUAUAUUCAAUCAAACAUUUCAUGAAUCCUUUUUAUAUAGAGCAUAAAAGAUAAUUAAUUUAAAUGGAAUGUUAUGAUAAUGGAUAAAUGUAGAAAUCAAAUUUUAUAUAUGAUAAAAAUAUAUUAGGGGUAGACGUAACUGAUGAUCUAGAUCGAUUAGAUCUAAGAAAAUCCAUCCAAUAAAAGUAUUCACAUCUUUAGACAUAUAGCUCAAUCUUUAGUCUUGGCACUCCUCUAGAAUUAAAGGAUCUAUUCAACGUAAUUAAUACUGUCAACCCUUAAUUGAAAUAGAGAAUGAAAAAUAGAGAAAAGAGAGAGUGAAUUAAUUUGAGUCCAAACAAGAACCUGAUCGGUUUGGAAUGAAUCUACUAAUAUGGGAAGGAGAGAGAUACUAGAUCUAGGCUAAUCGAGUUGCUUGGGCUAGAUCCACUUGGGUUAGGUCGAAUUAGGGGCCAAUGGAUUCCCUUCUCUCUUUCUCUCACUCUCUCUUUCUCUCUCUCCUUCUACUUCUUCCAUGGACAAAAAAGGGGUUUUGAUAGCGUUUGAUCUGUCUAAAAGCAAGAUGGAGAGGGGGGAAAGAGAGGACUUGGUGGUUGGCAGGUUGAGGAGAUUGAAGUGGUCAUCGACCGGCGACAACGGCGAUGACUCAAGUGAAAGGCUCGAAGAAGUAGAAAAAUAGGGUUCAAAGUGGCUUAAAAAUACUCUACAAAUAGGGCUUGGAUCUAGAAAGAAUGGAAGAGGAGAGAAGGGAAGCUUACCGACAAUCAAUAGAGGCAGCGAAUUUUGAUCGACGGUAGCAAUUUUCCAGUAGUUUAAGGGCACAAAAUUGAGUCAAAAUAGGGUAAGAGAGAGAAAGGGGGGAUUUUGGGUAGCUGGACUUUGGCUACGACAACUUGUUAGUUGUUGAAGAGGCGAAGAAGGGAGGAAAGAGACGAAGGAGUGCAUAAUGAUACUGAUUACAGGAGAGGAGUUUAAAUAGGACACGACUGCAGAAAAGAUAAAGUCGACCUAACACCAGUCGUUCGCAAAUAUGUAUCGGCCUCCAAUGGCCACCGAUGGUUCGCAUCAGUCCGAAGAAGUCGCAUCAGCUACUAUUUGGUGGCCUUAUCCUUUGAUAGCAAAGAUCGGACAGGAGAUCAAGAUCUCUUCUAUUUUAAUUUUAUUUUUUAAAAAAAUUAUGAAUUGAAGUCAAUAAUGAGUUUGCCGACUUUAAUUCAAAAAUAAACAGAGGGUUUCACAAAGGUGGAGAUUCUGAAAUACGACUAAUUGGGAGUGGGUUUGUUGAUCAUGAACAGUUUUUUUUGUAACCUAUCAUUUUUAUUGAAGUAUAUUUCAUUUUUUUAUUAUUAUUAUUAUUAUUUUGACCCCAUAAUCUCUUAAUAGAGUGCACAAGAAUAUUUAUAAAAAAAAAGAGUACUGUUGGGACAGUCAACCGACCUCCGACUCCGACUCUACAUCGAUCGUAUGAAUACAUUAUGCUGACUCAUGAUCAGUGAACCGACCGACAGUCGGCUACUAUCAACCAUCAACUAACAAUUUGAUUAACUCCCGAUCGAAGACCAUCAGUAUAUCAGAGUUACCAGUCGAUACUCAUUCGGAUCUACUACCGAUUUAUCAGUAUUACUGACAUAUAGUCAGCCUAUCUUCUCAACACACCCUAACCAUUAUGAAUAGUUAUCAACUACGUGUCACGGUCAUUAGUGGGCAUAAACAACUCACUAACUCCACGAUUAUGGCUCGAUAAUUUAGCGUCAUAAAAAAUGAGACCACGUACUCGAUGGUUACAUCAGAAUCAUUUAUAAAAGGGAAGGUAAAUGAGCAGUAUGGAUAAGGCAAUCCUAGGCUAAGACUCUGUCGUUCUAAACACUCUUAAUCUACUGUUCACCAAUCUCCUCUCUGAUUUAAGCAUCGGAGGAUUUCUGUCGGACACAACUCCAGUCUGUGAGGAUUUUAUCUUACAGGUGUUCUUCACCGACAACAAGCGAUAGGGGGUUGGCUGCAACAGAUUGACACAUCAGGUAGGGAGAGGCUACAAUCAACUAUGUCAAACAUCAUAGCUCAACACUUGACUAGAUUGGUGAGGCAGUCUUUCUAUCAAAAAGAUAUUCUUCCCCCACCUCCAGUGGCAGAGCCUAGUUCUUCACGUCUUGUGGUCACCACGGACGUACAGAUUACUGCACUCAAGCAGCAAAUGAAAGUUUUGAUGGAGGUGGUCCAAAAUCUUCAACAGCAGCAAAUCCAGCAGCAGCAGCCAUCGGUGGAGCAGUCGGUGGCUCAAUCAGUGCCAUCCAGGCACAGUCACCAUCCUCCACGACAUUCACCCUCCUCAUCUCCGAAGCAGCGACCGUCUCGACACUCCCAUCGAGAUGAACAACCGUAUUCUUGGCACUCCCAUCAUGCCACUCAUCAUUCACGGUGUUCUCCCUCUCUUUCUCGUACACAUAGUAUCAAGAAAGAGAAAUGAUCACGGACACCUUCUGUUUCUCCUUCUUUAAGCUCUUCAGGAGGUUCUACCCCUGGAGUUUUUCAGUAAUGGUGGCUCGAUGACUACAAACGUAAAUUCAGAAAAAUUGAUCGUCAGCUCGUCUGACUUCAGGUGGAAGGUCGAAAGUCCUCUAAUAACUACGACUUCCACACUGCCUAGUCUCUCUCUUGGUGCAUCUUGGGUGAACUGAUUUCUUCUCGAUUCAAGCUACCGCAGAUGGAGUCAUAUGGUGGCUCCAUCGAUCCGAUCGAUCAUUUGGAGAGCUAUAAGGCUCUCAUGAUGAUCUAGGAGGCAAUCGAUGUCUUCUUAUGCAUUAGCUUCCCGAUAACUCUUCGAAAGGUUGCUCGAGCCUAGUAUUUCGAGCUUCAGUCGGAAGCAUUAAAUCUUUCGAGCAACUCGAGCAUUCUUUUAUGGCCUACUUCAGCACAAGCCGAAGGCCGUCAUGGACAUCCUACAGUCUUUUCUCAAUCAAGCAAGGUGAGAUAAAGACAUUGAGGGACUUUGUGACUUGCUUCAAUGCGACCACACUUGAGAUCAAGGAUCUCAAUGAAGACAUGGCUAUAUCAGCUAUGAAAAGAGAUCUGAGGGGAUCCAGAUUUACUUACUCUCUAGAUAAAAUUCUUUUCUAGACCUAUGCUGAACUUCUAAAAUACGCGUAUAAGUAUAUUCAUGUGGAUGAAGCUGUUUCUGACCGACGUCAGACAGAUGAAAAAUGUCAGAAGAAGAAAUAAAAGAAAAGUGAAGCUCCAAUUGAAUCAAAUAGGUCGAUUGUUGAUAAAAGCUUCACCUCGACGACGGAGUCCAAAGCCGAAUAGCUAUGGCAGGUAUGACUCCUACACUCCUCUUUCUGCUUCCCAUACGCAAAUCCUGAUAGAAAUCGAAGAAGAGUACUUACGACACCCCCCACCAAUUAAAGCACCAUCGAGGAGCCGAGAUAGGAAGAAGUACUAUCGGUUCCAUCGUGAUUAUGCUCACGAUACCGAACAAUACAUCCAGCUUAAAGACGAGAUAAAGGUCUUGAUUCGAUAAGGCUACCUCGAAAAAUUUCGACGUGAUCAUCCGACUCAACCUCCCACCGACCAACAACUUCAGCUGCAAGCUGAAGAGACACUCACCAAUCGACCAAUGGUGGGAGUAAUCAACAUAAUCUUCGGGUGACAGAAGAACUGAGGGGCAACUUUCGAAGAAGUGUCGGUGAAGAAAUGAUGAUUUGAUAAUGUAAUUACCUUUUUGGAAGAUGAUGUUCGGAGAAUACAAACUUUUCAUGAUGAUGCUGUCGUUGUUUCGAUAACGAUAGCUAAUUAUGAUGUAAAAAAAUUUUAGUGGAUAAUGGAAGCUCGACGGAUAUUUUGUUUUACUCGACUUUCUCUCGAAUGCGACUACCGAUUGAUCAACUUAGAAGAGUCUCGAUGCCAUUGAUCGAUUUCACAGGAGAUGUAGUCACAGGAGAGAUACGUGGAGAUCAACAACUUGUCCGACGCUGCUUCCUAGUUUCCACACAAAAUAAUCAACCCGAAGACUCUUUAUCCGUUGAUAAAUUGAACCAAAGAGAGAAUGAAGAAAUGGAUGAACUAGCCGAACAAUUAGUUUCUAUCCUAUUAAAAGAAGAAGAUCCUGAGAAGACAGUCCAAUUUGGAUCGUAGCUGUCUGAUCUGGAGUAGCAGCAACUAAUAAAUCUACUCAAGAUAAAUAUCAAUAUUUUUGCUUGGUCGGCUACUGAUAUGCCAGGCAUUCCUUCAGAAGUAAUAACCCAUCAACUAAAUAUUGACCCAAAGGUUAAGUCGGUGAAACAAAAGAAAAAGUCUUUUACUUCUGAAAGACAGAAGGUCAUCGACGAAGAGAUCGACAAACUCCUCGCAGCUGGCUUCAUCAGAGAAGCUACCUAUUCUGAUUGGCUCGCUAAUAUAGUGAUGGUGAGAAAGAUCAAUAAAAAAUGAAAAAUCUACAUCGACUACAUAAAUCUAAACGAAGCUUGUCCGAAGGACAGUUUUUCUUUGUCAAAGAUUGAUCAACUAGUUAAUGCAACUUCGGAGCAUUGACUCUUAAGCUUCAUGGACGCCUUUGCAGGCUAUAAUCAAAUUUGGAUGGCACCCGAAGAUGAGGAGCACAUAGCUUUCAUAAUCGAUAAAGACAUCUAUUGCUAUAAAGUAAUACCUUUCGGUUUAAAAAAUGCUGGAGCCACAUAUCAAUGGCUAGUCAAUAAAAUCUUCAAGACAGAUCAUGUGAAAUAUAGAAGUGUAUGUGGACGACAUGCUGAUGAAAAAUUCUCAAACUACUGAUCAUGUUUAGGAUCUAGAAGAAGCCUUCAGUAUACUUCGACGAUAUCAGAUGAAGUUGAAUUUGACUAAGUGUGCAUUUGGAGUAACUUCUGAGAAGUUCUUUGAAUUUUUUAUAUCCCAACGAAGAAUCGAGAUCAAUUUCAAAAAAAUAAAGGCUAUCAUCAACAUGAAGCAUCCUAGUUCCAAAAAAGAGAUACAGCAGCUCAACGAAAGGAUCACCGUACUCAAUUGAUUCAUAUCAAGGUCGGCAAAAAGAUGCUUAUCUUUUUUCAAGACCUUGAGGCAAUCAAACGACUUCAUAUGGUCAAAUAAGUGUCAACAAUCCUUCGAAGACCUAAAAGGAUAUUUAACAUCUCCAUCGCUACUUUCAAAAUCAAAGGUCGAAGAAAUUUUAUAUCUCUACUUGGCGAUAUCGAUGGAGGCAGUUAAUUCAGUACUUAUCUAGAAGGAUGAAAAUCAAAUUCAACGAUCAAUCUACUACACUAGCAAGGUACUUCACAAUGCCAAAGUAAGAUAUUCAAAAGUGGAGAAAAUGAUCUACGCUCUAAUCAUAUCAUCAUAGCGACUUCGUCCAUACUUUCAAACACAUCCUAUUGUUGCCUUGACAGAUCAGCCGUUGAAGAUAAUCUUAAACCGACCUGAUACAUCGGGUCGAAUGGCAAAGUGGGCAAUAAAGUUUGACGAAUUUGAUAUACAAUAUCGCCCACAUCCAUCAAUGAAGGCGUAAGUUUUGUCCGACUUCGUCGUCUAGUGUACAAUAUCGGAUAAUAAUCCUGAGGAUGAAGCUAAUGACAAAAUAAAGUAGGCCACAACUCUUAAACCUGACUCAACAUCAGCAUGGGUGCUACAUAUUGACGGAGUAUCUAAUGCAUUGGGCAGCAGAGCCGGUCUCAUCUUUAUCAAUUUCGAAGGAGUUAUUACUGAAUAUGCUCUUUGAUUCAACUUUAAAGCUUUGAAUAAUCAAACCGAAUAUGAAGCAUUCUUAGCCGGCUUAAAAAUUGUCAAGGAGCUUGAUAUCGAUAGCCUGAAGGUUUUCACCGACUCACAACUAAUUGCUGGACAGAUUAAAGACGAGUUUGAAGUCUGAGACCCCAUUAUGAUGAAGUAUCUUCAAAAAGUGAAGGAUCUUACAUCAACUCUAAAAUAUUUUGAGAUCUUUCAUAUCCCAAUGAUAGAAAAUGCUCGAACCGACAUACUUUCAUGACUUGCAAUCACUUCUUUCAACUCGUUAGGUCGGACAUUCGUCGAAUACCUUGAACAGUCGAGUAUUAAUAAAGUCAAGGAAGUACUACAAAUCACCGAUGAAUCAAGCUGGAUGGAUCCUAUUGUGCAGUACUUGACUGAUGAAACUUUUCCUAUGGAUCCAUCAGAAGCCAAAUAACUCAGAUGGAUGGUCUCACAAUACAUUUUGAUAAAUGGUUAAUUAUACAAGAGGUCAUUCUCUCUUUUCUUACUGAAGUAUUUAAGACCGACAGAUGCCAACUAUGCACUCAGAGAAGUUCAAGAAGAGAUUUGUGAAAAUCACUUGGGGGCAAAUCUCUAGCUUACAAAGUUCUACGACAAGGAUAUUAUUGGUCCACUAUGAAAAAAAUACAGCUGAGCUUGUCCGAAGGUGUGAACCAUGUCAGAAAUAUAUAAAUAUACAACAUCAAUAGGUCAGUCAGUUAACAUCAAUUGUUGCACUAUAGCCCUUUGCACAAUGGAGAAUUGACAUAUUUAGUUUUUUCCCUCCAGCAUCUGGCCAGAGAAAAUUUAUAGUGAUCGCCAUCGAUUACUUCACCAAGUGGAUAGAAGUUGAACCUUUGGCACAGAUCACUGAAAGUAAGAUGAAAGACUUUAUUCAGAAAUCAAUUAUAUGCAGAUUCGAUCUACUGCACACCAUUAUCACUGAUAAUGGUCGGCAAUUCGACAAUCAAAACUUCAAAGAGCUUUGUGUAAAAUUUUAUAUUAUGCAUAAACUCACAUCAGUCAGCCACCCACAAUCCAACAAAGAGGUGGAGGUAACAAACCGAACAAUUCUGCAUUGACUUAAGACCAGAUUGAAUGAAGCUAAAGGCCUCUGGGAGGAGAAAUUAUAUCCAAUCUUGUGGGCUUAUCGAAUAACUCCAUAUGUACCAACAGGAGAAUCACUAUUCAAUUUGGUUUAUGGAACAGAAGCGAUGAACCCACUUGAGAUCGGACUACCAUCAACAACAGUAGAACAAUAUAAUGAGCCGAGCAAUUUAGAAUGUCAGAGAGCUGAUCUAGACUUGCUUCCAGAAGUCCAAUAGCAAGCUCAAGUUCAGAUGGUAGCAUAUCGAUAAAGAGUAGCCCAAUAUUAUAAUGUAAAAGUUAAGCCGAAGGUCUUCUAUCCAGAAGAUCUGGUCCUAAAAAAAGCAAAAGUCUCAAAACUACUGGACCAAAAAAAACUAUCUCCAAAUUGGAAAAGGCCUUACAGAAUAUUCGAAACACUUAGACUAGAUGCAUAUCGGCUGGAAACCUUUGGGAGAGCAGCUAUUCUUCGAAUGUGGAAUGCUCACAGUCUAAAGAUGUAUUAUCAAUAAAGCUGUUCAUAUAUAUAGUAUUUAGAAUGAAAUAUUGAAUUUUAGAAUUACAAAAGUUUCGACCAACUACAAAAUGAUUUUAGAUCGAUAAAAUGGACAGUCAAUUUCUAUCGACUAUAUUUUAAUUUUUCACUGUAAAAAUUGACAUAUCGACUAUAUUUCAGUUUUCACUGUAAAAAUCAAAAUAUCAUCUGUAUCUCGGUACCAACUAUAUCUCGACUUUUUACUAUAAAAGCUGACUCUAGUCGAACGACUAUUAUGCCGAUUUAGUUUUAACUAAGCAAAACAUUAUGCCGAUAUGAUCCAGAUAGAUUAAAAUUAUACUGACUUGACUAUAGUCGGUCGAAGGAUAUUCAGCUUACCAUCAAUUAUUAAAUAAUCAGACGUACUGACCUGACUAUGGUUGGUCGAAGGAUAUUCGACUUAUCACCAUUUAUCCAAAUAUCUAAAAGGUAAAGUAUGUCUAUUAAUAUUUGACUAACGGAUGAAUUCUAUAAGUACAUUUGGCUUGCCGAUCGAUAUUCGGUAGUUAAAUAAUAAUUCUAUGACAUUGCAGAGAUAGAAGGAAAGAGAAUUUAUACUUAGAAAAAAAAAUUUCAUUCAUUGAAAAGAAGAUUACAAAAUUAGAUCGAAGUCAAAUUACAAAAGUUUUUGAUUACAAAAAAAAUGAAAAUAUUACAUUAAUCACCAAUCAUCAUCUUUGUCUCCUUGCUCUAGCGCAGCAUCGACAACUGGAAUAUCUUUUGGUACAUUCAAUGCAACAUCUUCAGUCGGUGUAGCUUCUUCUUCGGUAACUCCAUCUUCCAGGAUAGGAGGGAUGAUGCUGCUCAAGUCCAAAUCUGGGUACAGCUUUCUGAUCAUAUCUCGAUUGUCUUCAUACCCAACGUAAUAAAAAGCGAAUCCGUCUUCAAAGAUUUCUUCUUUAAACUCUUCAGAGUUCUUGUUGUUCUCUAUGGCUUGGUUCAAGGCUUCCCUUACCGACUCUACUUCCGCUCUCACCAACUCUGUGUCAGCUCUUACAGAAGUCGACUCAUCAUCGGCUAGUGCCAACAUUUCUAGGGUGGCCCGAUGUCUUCCACAUUCGGCUUCGAGUUCAUCGAUACAGCCAUCCCUUUCUCGUCAAAGCUGGUGGAAUGAGUGCUUCUUGCUCUUGGUCAGCAACUUAAGAGACAAGAUGUUCUGACGAGCCGACUCAAGUUCAGCUCUGGAAGAUUGAAGAUUGACGGUCAGAUGGGAGACUUUCUCCUGAAGCUUCGCCUCCCGCUCGAUCGCCGUCUAGAGUUGUUCAAGGGCAACCAUCUUCUUAGCAUUGGCGGCCGCCAUCUUGUUCAUCUAGGUCCGACGGAACUCUGCAACCUUUUGAUAGCCGACCUUUAGGUCAUGCAUAUCGUGCACCCACUGAAAGCAGAAGAUAAGUCAGAUUAGAUGAAAAAAAAUAUUGAAGAACUUAUCCUGAGUAUCGUCAGGUAAAAGAAAAA